rnacentral:rRNA from 1 species
GACGAACGCUGGCGGCGUGCUUAACACAUGCAAGUCGAACGGAAAGGCCCUGCUUUUGUGGCGUGCUCGAGUGGCGAAAGGGUGAGUAACACGGGAGUAACCUGCCCUUGACUUUGGGAUAACUUCAGGAAACUGGGGCUAAUACCGGAUAUGAGCUCCUGCUGCACGGUGGGGGUUGGUAAGGUUCGGCGGUUGGGGAUGGACUCGCGGCUUAGCAGCUUGUUGGUGGGGUAGUGGCUUACCAAGGCUUUGACGGGUAGCCGGCCUGGGAGGGUGACCGGCCACAUUGGGACUGAGAUACGGCCCAGACUCCUACGGGAGGCAGCAGUGGGGAAUAUUGCACAAUGGGCGGAAGCCUGAUGCAGCAACGCCGCGUGCGGGAUGACGGCCUUCGGGUUGUAAACCGCUUUCGCCUGUGACGAAGCGUGAGUGACGGUAAUGGGUAAAGAAGCACCGGCUAACUACGUG